CCUACGGGUGGCAGCAGUGGGGGAUAUUGCACAAUGGGGGAAACCCUGAUGCAGCGACGCCGCGUGUGGGAAGACGGUCUUCUGGAUUGUAAACCACUGUCCCCAGGGACGAAAAUGACGGUACCUGGGGAGGAAGCUCCGGCUAACUACGUGCCAGCAGCCGCGGUAAUACGUAGGGAGCAAGCGUUGUCCGGAAUUACUGGGUGGAAGGGGAGCGUAGGCGGGGAUGCAAGUUGGGUGUCAAAACUACCGGCUAAACCGAUAGUCGCACUCAAAACUGCAACUCUUGAGUGAAGUAGAAGCAGGCGGAAUUCCUAGUGUAGCGGUGAAAUGCGUAGAUAUUAGGAGGAACACCAGUGGCGAAGGCGGCCUGCUGGGCUUUUACUGACGCUGAGGCUCGAAAGUGUGGGGAGCAAACAGGAGUAGAUACCCGGGUAGUC
rnacentral:rRNA from 1 species